rnacentral:rRNA from 1 species
GAUGAACGCUGGCGGCGUGCUUAACACAUGCAAGUCGAACGGUAAGGCCCCAGCUUGCUGUGUUCCAUGAGUGGCGAACGGGUGAGUAACACGUGGCUGACCUGCCCUGCACAUCGGGAUAAGCCUGCGAAACCUGGUCUAACACCGGAUAGGACCCUGGUGUGGAUAUUGUGGUGGAAAGUGUCUCGGGUGUGGGAUGGGCGUGCGGCCUAUAAGCGCGUUGGUGGGGUAUUGGCCUACCAAGGCGGCGACGGGUAGCCGGCCUGAGAGGGUGGACGGCCACAUUGGGACUGAGGCACGGCCCAGACGCCUACGGGAGGCAGCAGUGGGGAAUAAUGCACAGUGGGCGGAAGCCUGAUGCAGCGACGCCGCGUGGGGGAUGACGGCCGUCGGGUUGUAGACACCUUUCACCAUCGACGAAGAGUUUCUGACGGUAGAUGGGGAAGAAGCACCGGCUAACUACGUG